rnacentral:ribozyme from 1 species
UGCCCAGCAACUCCUAUCCCUACCUCCUCGUGGUACUGGCCGGGGUACGAGUAACCUUGGGGAAGAUCGGGUAACCAACUCCCGGUGGGAAUUUUGGUCGUAUGCUGACAGGGAAGG